AAAUGGUACCUGCUACUUUUUGAUGCCUUCAAGCCCUGAGACUCUACCCAGUGUUUGUUUUCAUUUCAAUACAGAAAUAAAUUGUACAGAGUGAAAGAUGAGGAAAGGUAGAAAUCUGUGUGCUCAGUCCUGGCUCUCCCCUAAUUGGGAAGGAAGAAAUGGGUUUCCAUGGAGCUGUGGAUGGUGUUCAUCUCAGGAUUCUGCAAGUUGGUGAACAGCAGCUUCUGGAGUGAGCCUCUCAAGUCUCUGCCGACCAAUGGAGACCACGCUAGAUGCUGUCUGCAGUUGGGGUGAGAAGAAAGCAGAGGCAGCAGGUGUGGUCCAGCAGGAAGAAAAGGGGUUCGCAAACAUCUCUAUUGUCUUCUCACAAACCCAGAAGCACCAGCCAAAACACUGACCAAGCCCUUUCCCACUUAAAAGAACCAAUCGAUCUUCAUGCUCAGGGUCCCAAGCCAUCAACUUCGACCCUAUCAAAGUCUUCCUGUCUGUGGAAUUUUAGCAAAACUUUUCUCCCAGAGACAAGUGAUAUAGCAUUGCUUGUGAAGACCUCUGACAAAUACAAAGUAAGUGGGGUGUUAUUUUUGCUCUUAUUUUAUAUUUAAGGCCACUUGAGACAAAGAG
rnacentral:lncRNA from 1 species